UACGUAUGUCGCGAGCGUUAUCCGGAAUUAUUGGGCAUAAAGGGCAUCUAGGCGGCCGGAUAAGUCUGGGGUGAAAACUUGCGGCUCAACCGCAAGCCUGCCCUGGAAACUAUGCGGCUAGAGUACUGGAGAGGUGGACGGAACUGCACGAGUAGAGGUGAAAUUCGUAGAUAUGUGCAGGAAUGCCGAUGAUGAAGAUAGUUCACUGGACGGUAACUGACGCUGAAGUGCGAAAGCUAGGGGAG
rnacentral:rRNA from 1 species